CUCAACCAAAUUGGGCAGAAAUUUUGCUGAGUUCGGCAAUUUUUAUAAUCGGCACGAAAAAUUUUUAAACGGUUAUAACUUUUCUCUUGAAUGACCGAUUUUAGCGCGUAACUUCAAUUCGAAAAAUACUUUUUGAGAUCUAUGUGUUGAACAGCUAAGCCAUUCCGGCCGAGUUUGGUGCCCAAAUUCAACUAUUUCGGUCUCCGUUUUUGCAUUCUAGGCUCUUCUCGAACUGUUUUAUAUUUUUACUCUUUUGAGUCUGAUU
rnacentral:lncRNA from 1 species